rnacentral:rRNA from 1 species
UACGGGGGGGGCGAAGCGUUGUUCGGUAAUUACUGGGCGUAAAGGGUUCGUAGGUGGCCAACUCAGUCAGACGUGAAAUCCCUCAGUCUCAAGAUGGGGAACUGCUCUGAUACUAGAUGGCUCGAGUGCAGGAGAGGAACGCGGAAUUCCAGGUGUAGCGGUGAAAUGCGCAGAUAUCAGAGGAACACCGGUGGCGAAGGCGGUUCUCUGGCCUUACCUGACGCGUGAGGAGCGAAAGCGUGGGGAGCAAACAGG